rnacentral:rRNA from 1 species
GGGCUAGUGGCGGGAUGCUUACACAUGCAAGUCGAACGGCAGCGGGUCCUUCGGGACGCCGGCGAGUGGCGAACGGGUGAGUAAUGCAUCGGAACGUACCCAGUAGUGGGGGAUAACUUACCGAAAGGUAAGCUAAUACCGCAUACGCACUGAGGUGGAAAGCAGGGGACCGCAAGGCCUUGCGCUAUUGGAGCGGCCGAUGUCGGAUUAGCUAGUUGGUGGGGUAAGGCCUACCAAGGCGACGAUCCGUAGCGGGUCUGAGAGGAUGAUCCGCCACACCGGAACUGAGACACGGUCCAGACUCCUACGGGAGGCAGCAGUGGGGAUUUUUGGACAAUGGGCGCAAGCCUGAUCCAGCCAUGCCGCGUGAGUGAAGAAGGCCUUCGGGUUGUAAAGCUCUUUCGGCCGGGAAGAAAUCGUGGUGGCUAAUACCUGCCAUGGAUGACGGUACCGGACUAAGAAGCACCGGCUAACUACGUGCCAGCAGCCGCGGUAAUACGUAGGGUGCGAGCGUUAAUCGGAAUUACUGGGCGUAAAGCGUGCGCAGGCGGUUGUGUAAGACAGGCGUGAAAUCCCCGGGCUCAACCUGGGAACUGCGCUUGUGACUGCACGGCUAGAGUACGGCAGAGGGGGGUGGAAUUCCACGUGUAGCAGUGAGAUGCGUAGAGAUGUGGAGGAACACCGAUGGCGAAGGCAGCCCCCUGGGUCGAUACUGACGCUCAUGCACGAAAGCGUGGGGAGCAAACAGGAUUAGAUACCCUGGUAGUCCACGCCCUAAACGAUGUCGACUAGUUGUUGGAGGGGUAAAACCCUUUAGUAACGUAGCUAACGCGUGAAGUCGACCGCCUGGGGAGUACGGCCGCAAGGUUAAAACUCAAAGGAAUUGACGGGGACCGCACAAGCGGUGGAUGAUGUGGAUUAAUUCGAUGCAACGCGAAAACCCUUACCUACCCUUGACAUGCCAGGAACUUGCCAGAAAAUGGCUUGGUGCCCGCAAGGGGA